rnacentral:lncRNA from 1 species
GGGGAGCGCUUUUGGAUCAAAUCCGGCAGGGAAUUCAGCUGAACAAGACCCCUGGGGCCCCAGAGAGCUCAGCGCUGCAGCCACCACCUCAGAGCUCAGAGGGACUGGUGGGGGCCCUGAUGCACGUGAUGCAGAAGAGAAGCAGAGCCAUCCACUCCUCCGGGUCUCGCUCUGUGUCCCAGGCUGGAGUACAGUGGUGCAAUCAUGGCUCAGUGCAGCCUCAACCUCCCAGGCUCAAGCGAUCCUCCCGCCUCAGCUCCCAAAGUAGCUGGGACUACAGGCGUGUGCCACCAUACCUGGCUAAUUUUUGGUGUUUUUUUGGUAGUGAUGAGCUCUCACUACCAAGCUCUCACUACUCUCAUGUUGCCCAGGCUGCUCUGCAACUCCAGGGCUCAAGCGAUCUGCCCCGCCUCAGCCUCCCAGAGUGCUGGGAUUACAGGCAUGAGCCACCAGGCCUGGCUGUUAACCUAAUCUUUUUAUAAUAAUGUUACUAUUACUCUCUUAAUCUGUCAGCAAUACUGUCACUAAUCCAUUAUAUGAUGCAAAUAUUAGUAUCAACCUACUAUAGGAACUUCAUCUUUCGACAAUGAUUUUUUUUUUCUUUUGAGACGGAGUCUUGCUCUGUCACCCAGGCUGGAGUGCAGUGGCGCGAUCUUGGCUAACUGCAGACUCUGCCUCCUGGGUUCAAGCGAUUCUCCUGCCUCAGCCUUCCGAGUAGCUGGGACUACAGGCACGCCACUACGCCCAGCUAAUUUUGAUGUUAUUGUCAUUAACCCCAUUAUGUGUCAAAAAUAUUAGCGUUAACCAGACAGGAAGCAAUAAUAUAUUAUCACACCUUUGCUAAUAUUAUUUAAAUUCACCCUAUUAUGUGAUAAAUAGGUUAACAUUAACCCUUUGUUUGACAAUAUCUCGACUAACCACAUUUUUGACAGCAUAAACUUCAACUCCAACUAGAACUCAGACCCCAACUAUAAUCCCUUUCUUGUCCCAAAUGGAAACUCUAACUUGCCCUCCUCUAGCAUGAGACCUCAGAACCCCAGGGUCCAGUCCUCACCUCCCAGGCCCUAUGAAGCCCCCCACCAACCUCCCAGGGCAUCUUAUCUUUCUCUUUCCCUCCAGACGAAGGGGAGGACCAGGCUGGCGAUGAAGAUGAAGAUGAUGAAUGGGAUGACUGAGUGGCUGAGUUACUUGCUGCCCUGUGCUCCUCCCCGCAGGACAUGGCUCCCCCUCCACCUGCUCUGUGCCCACCCUCCACUCUCCUCUUCCAGGCCCCCAACCCCCCAUUUCUUCCCCACCAACCCCUCCAAUGCUGUUAUCCCUGCCUGGUCCUCACACUCACCCAACAAUCCCAAGGCCCUUUUUAUACAAAAAUUCUCAGUUCUCU